UGACAGUCUUUUGAUGAUUUCAGAUUCUGAAGCGCACAAGAAGGUCGCUGGAUCUGCAUCGAUUUUAAGCCAGGUGUGUUGCCCUUAAUUUCGAUCUGGUUCUUUUACAAUUAUCCUAGCUAGGUUGAUGUGAAAACAAGCAGUUCUUACCAUUACAAGCCAGGUGGGUGGUUGUUCUCUGGUUUUGGUGGGUAAAAGGAACGACGAUACCUCAAGUUGAAGAUCAAAUCCAGCUGUUUGUCAUCAACAGCAGGCUAGCACACUCAAUCAUACCCAUAACCCACGAGUUGAUGAAAGUUUAGGAUCUCCACGAGUAAGUUUCAAUGACAACAAGACCAGCCAAGCCAUGAGGCUCAGAAAUUCAAGAAUCCAUGAGAUUGUUGUGAUGGUGUCAGCUUCAGGAACGCACGAGGAGGUCACCAAGAUCGAUCUGAUGCCGGCUUCUUGAUUUGUGACGACAGGUAAUGGUCCGGUUUUAGUUGCUAUCCAUUGUUUCCCUUGAAUUCAAAAAUAAUCUGGAAUUGAUCUGUAGCAUAAUUGUUGAUCAUCCUCGUUAGUUGUUACUGCCAGCAUAGUUAAACAUGGUGUGCAUAUCCUCUUUCACUAAAAUUACAGUAGUGUUGAAAUUUCUAGCCUACUCAAGUUAACAUUCUUGUUGCGUGUGGACUUCCUAAAGUGAAUACGGUAGUUUCUUUUAAUUGAAGUCAUUUUAAACUGUAUCCAAUAAUAUAUCAAUAUCUCUUAAUGACUAUAUGGUAUUAUAGCUUUGUUUUCUUAUUCCUUUUCUCGAUUGCGGUACAUAUUUCUAGCAACUUAAUAAACAACUCUAGCUAUUUGUUUCUCCAUACAUGUGGAGAUACUUUAUGUAGAUAUUGAGAAAACCAUGGAAUUAAGUUACCAAAACUUAUCUCAUUAGCCAACUAUCUGAAAGUAGAAUAUUAUUCAUAUUGGGGAGUUGGCUUGGUAUUCAGAUUUGACUUCAAUAUUUGGGAGAUUUUAACUCGGGUGUCCCUAUGUGAAGCGAAGGAUGCAAAGUCAGUUGUUUUUGUCUGGUGUCACCCGUUGUUGUCUUUUUUUUUGGAUGAAAACAAUAGGUGAUUGCCUACUACAAUUUUAUAAAAAGUGAGAACACGUACAAAUACAUGGAGGGUAAAAAAGGAAAGAAAAAACACUACCUAAAUAUUUUCAGCAAGGUGUACAUGCCAUAUUAAGAUUUUGUUUCUGUUAUGUGAAAGAUCAGAUGUAUCCCCUCCUUGAAAGUUUGUCGCCACCUGUAUUGAUUAAGUGAAAUUUUAUUGAAGAUGAAGCUAUUUCGACAUCCUCAAUGCUCCCAAGUAAUUGCACUGAUGAACUCUAUAAAGAAAGGAACUCCCAAAGCCUUCUUAGGAGUUAGGAGAACUAACCUUUAUUUUUUAUCCUUGUAGAGUGACUCCUGGGCAUAAGCAAUUCCAGCAGGCUUUAGCAAACUGGCAAUUAGAUAAUUUAUGUUCCUCAGAUUCAAGUGCAUUCUGAUCACACAUGACACAGCCAUAAGAGAGGAUAAAAAUGUGCUUCCUUUGUAGCAUUUCUCUAUUGUUAAGCAUGUUCAUUACCCAAAGCCAGAAGAACACCUUAUGCCUCAGUUGACAUCAUGAUUUUCAAAGCCAGUUGAAUUGAGCAGGGAUCUCUUGGUACCCAACAAUAAUUCUGUAAACUUUACUAGUACAAUAUCCAGGUGAUUUCCAAGGAUAGCGCCAGGUGUCUGAGUUGGCAUUAGCCUGAAUGGAUUGCAACAUCAUUUUUAAAUCCUGAAACUUGAUCUUGUCAGCUGAUAAUAUUAAGUUUGCCACACUUGAUAUAAGAGUCCCAAGCUUUCUAAAAUUCUCAUGGAUCUGUCUGUUUUAAGUACCUUUUUGUUUGAUUCUGUGGGUUAGAGGUACAAAGAUUAACAGUAUCAAAUAUGAGUUUAGUAGAAUUACCUUGAUUUUUUUGCUUAUUACACUUUUCUAUUCUGGUUGGAAGGUUUAAAAGUUUUUUGACAAAUGUGUGGUACUAGCAGAAUGCACUGAUGAUUUAAUUAAUACAUCACCUCAAUUUGCAGUGGCCAUUCUAAUGAUACCGAGGAAAAUAUACAAGUAGGCUACCACCCAACAGACAGAUAUUAGUAAUUCUCAGAAAAUAAUGGCGGAGAUUGUGA
rnacentral:lncRNA from 1 species